UACAGAGGUCUCAAGCGUUGUUCGGAUUCAUUGGGCGUAAAGGGUGUGUAGGUGGCGCCGUAAGUCGGGUGUGAAAUUUCGAGGCUUAACCUCGAAACUGCAUUCGAUACUGCGGUGCUUGAGGACUGGAGAGGAGACUGGAAUUCAUGGUGUAGCAGUGAAAUGCGUAGAUAUCAUGAGGAAGACCAGUGGCGAAGGCGGGUCUCUGGACAGUUCCUGACACUGAGGCGCGAAAGCGUGGGGAGCGAUCCGG
rnacentral:rRNA from 1 species